UACGUAGGGGGCGAGCGUUAUCCGGAUUCAUUGGGCGUAAAGCGCGCGUAGGCGGCCGCCUAAGCGGAACCUCUAACCCCGGGGCUCAACCUCGGGCCGGGUUCCGGACUGGGCGGCUCGAGUGCGGUAGAGGAGAGCGGAAUUCCCGGUGUAGCGGUGGAAUGCGCAGAUAUCGGGAAGAACACCGAUGGCGAAGGCAGCUCUCUGGGCCGUCACUGACGCUGAGGCACGAAAGUGUGGGGAGCAAACAGG
rnacentral:rRNA from 1 species